rnacentral:lncRNA from 1 species
UUUCUGAAGGCUCUCCUUGGUGCUCAGCUCUUGGAUUUCCCAGACUCAGCUGCUGGCUGAAGAGUUUUGUAAGGUGGUAGGGUUUUUUUUUUUUUUUUGGGGGGGGGGGGCGAGAUUGAUUGUGUUUUUGUGGAGGUUUUUUUUGUUUUUGUUUGUUUUUGGUAGUAAUUGGCUACUGCAGUAUUAGGGCUUGCCUGCUAAUUUUUAUUUUGCCCUUCUUCCAGUGACACUGGCUGAGGAAUGGACUGGCUAAUCUGUUGCUUUAGUGACUGCCAAAACAACCUUGGUCUCUGUGGUCAGUGCGGAAGCUUAGAGGCACAGGCCACCUGAUUUCAUUGAUGCCCUUGAGAGUGCAUUGCCCCUUUCCUGCGCAUGGAGAAAGAGGGCAUUUGCUGCACAGGCAAGGACAGGCAGGAGGAGAUGCCCAACGCUUGUGAUACAGCAGUGAUCUAAGUGCCUUCGUUAAGUCCCGCAGCUGCUUGUCUUGGCCACAGAGAAAAAGGCUUCUUUUUGCUCCAUGAUAAGCUGGUCUAGUGUCCUGAUGGGAAACUACCUCUGGCAGAGCCUGAGGGCCUGCAUAGCUAAAUGAGAACAGUUUUAAGCUGAAGCUUGGCUCAGACAGACUGCUGACUGCUUCACCUGGCAACUGACAGUCCUUUUUCUUUUUCUGCAUUUUGGCCCUAGGCCCUUUCAGGGGCCUCUGGGCACAAGAUAAAUAAUCUAUUUUGUUUGUCCUAGGCAUUUGUACAGCUCCUGGUAUGGCUGGCAGUAUCUGAGACUCUUGCAACCUUCCAACGUAUGCCGCUGUAAAGCUGAAAGGUGACUUUAUUGCAGUUUUUAUACAAAGAAAGAGCAGAAAUGCAUCAAAGGUAAAGGAUAAAAUCCAUGGCAGCCGUGGUCAUUUAUUUUUGUCUGAUCUAUACCCAGUGUAUGCUUCAGCUGUACACACUACUUAGGUGGUGGUUUGUGUUUUUUUUUUGUUUUGUUUUUUUUUUUUGUUUUUUUUGGUUGGACACUUUCAGCUUGUGCUUAUAUGAUGAGAAGAAAGAAGAAACACAAACUGGUUCUCUAGUGUCAAGGUGUGCGCCUGGAGACCAGAAGAACAAUGAAGAGUUAAAAAGGAAGAAGUCAGAAGUUGUUUAAAGAAGACGGUUUGUCACAGAGAACACGAGUGAGCGUGUGUAUGCGUGCACUGUGGAAGAGAGUCUACAGACAGACUCUUCCAGAGGUAAGGAGUAGUAAGUCUGAAAGAAGAGCUACGUACAUGUACGGUCUAUCUAGUUACUAAGGCAGCAGCAUUUCAGAGAAGCAUGGUACUGUGCUUUGUAAAGACUUGUAUGGUCAGACUUUAUUCGUGUUUUUGCCCUGGAGGAUUGAAUUGCAGAGUUUGAGUCUCAGAUCUGCUGAGGUAAACACUGUUAGGAAUAGGGAUAGCAAGGAGUCAAGGUUCAAAGUGAGA